UAGGGAAUCUUCCACAAUGGACGCAAGUCUGAUGGAGCAACGCCGCGUGAGUGAAGAAGGGUUUCGGCUCGUAAAGCUCUGUUGGUAGUGAAGAAAGAUAGAGGUAGUAACUGGCCUUUAUUUGACGGUAAUUACUUAGAAAGUCACGGCUAACUACGUGCCAGCAGCCGCGGUAAUACGUAGGUGGCAAGCGUUGUCCGGAUUUAUUGGGCGUAAAGCGAGUGCAGGCGGUUCAAUAAGUCUGAUGUGAAAGCCUUCGGCUCAACCGGAGAAUUGCAUCAGAAACUGUUGAACUUGAGUGCAGAAGAGGAGAGUGGAACUCCAUGUGUAGCGGUGGAAUGCGUAGAUAUAUGGAAGAACACCAGUGGCGAAGGCGGCUCUCUGGUCUGCAACUGACGCUGAGGCUCGAAAGCAUGGGUAGCG
rnacentral:rRNA from 1 species